UUCUUUGUAGUUCCGUGUGUCACAACAUGCUCUCAUGGAUCAUUAUAGUAGAGUUCACAAUGUAAAUAAAUUUAAAGAUGGAAAGAAUGAACAGAUUGGUCCUUACUUUCUAAGGCCGCAGCCAAAUUCCGUUAACAUUAUAUAUAUUAGCAAACAACAUGCUAUUUUCAGCAACUUAUCUGUACGUGCAAAUUCUGGUUGCAUAAAGAAAAUUCAUUAUUUCGAUAAAGAAAAUUCAUGAAUCAAGGAGUAUAUGGGCUAGGAAAUAGUGUGCAAUCUAAACCACAUCUAGCAUUUUUUGUGCAAAAAAUAGCAAACAAGAACAGAGGGGAGACCAUCAUGCAUAUUUGUUCUUUGAGUCGCAUUGUUACAUUAAAUGUAUUGUUCUUUCAGCAUCAACAUAGUGCAACAAGGUAAACAGCAAGAAAAAAGGACAUAUACAAAUAGAAUGCACCGACCCUGUUACUAAUUUCUUACAGCUCCAAUUAGUCACGGGUUGUUUUUUAACAAACAAGUAGCACUUACACAGGAUUCUGAUUUCUUUCUUUCUUGAGAUUUCAGAUGCGUGACGGUGUUUUUAUACUAGAGGACUUGUUGCAGAAUAAACAACAUUACCAUUAGAAAGUUCGGGAUUUGAGUAAAAAUCUGUCCUGACCGCGCUCAUCAUCCUGUAAUCAGUACUGCUGCGUCGCCCAGCAAAGCGAGCAAGGGGCACACCAUCUUCAUACUUCCUCCAUUCCAAUGAAUAAGGAAUGCACACUUUUCAAGGUUCACCUUUGACCUACAGAUCCGAUGGAACUAAAGAGACAACGUGCUAGGGAGCGGUAUGUUGCAGAUGGAUAAACAAAAGAAAGAUGAACACUCAAGAAGCGUCGUGGAGGUGGAGCCUAUCUCAAAAGAAAGCUCGGCCAGGUUUUCAUCCCCAAGAGGCGACAUUACAUGGAACAAGGAAAAUAUGGUUCCUG